UACGAAGGGGGCUAGCGUUGUUCGGAAUUACUGGGCGUAAAGCGUGCGCAGGCGGUUCUCCAAGUCCGUUGUGAAAGCCCCGGGCUCAACCUGGGAAUGGCAGUGGAAACUAGGGGACUUGAAUCUGGCAGAGGGGGGUGGAAUUCCACGUGUAGCAGUGAAAUGCGUAGAGAUGUGGAGGAACACCGAUGGCGAAGGCAGCCCCCUGGGCUGAGAUUGACGCUCAGGCACGAAAGCGUGGGGAGC
rnacentral:rRNA from 1 species